ACAUUUCUUGCUUCAAGAAUUCUAAAACUCGGUUUACUCGAUGCACAUCUUUAGUAUUGUUGGAUAGUGGUAGUAACAUUCAGGCACCAUAUUUUCUGACGCAGAUUUACAGGGCAUAGAUGCGAUGGUCGAACCAGAAACACAUUCAUGCCACCAGCCGAACAAGACAAACCUAUAAUGGGUCUGGAAAUCGGAGAUCAGCUGGUCCAGGGCCUAGGAUGCCCUUGUCAUGCUCUCCAAGGACGGUGCCGGGAACAAGGUUCGUGUCUGUUUGCCCAUUUCUAUCUUCUUCUGUAGGAGCCGGCUGUCUCCAGCUGCCCCCUAACCAUUCGUGCUGCUAAUAAGAUGAAUAAUACAGGGUUAAGGAACAUAAGACUCUGUCCAACAAAGUCAGAAAAGGCUAUAUAGUUCAAUUUAGAACAUCACGACUUACUUCUUCAUGACUGUAAUUUCCAUCAAGCAACAUAGGGGUCACGACGGGUGGGACGACAUCUGGGUCGGGCUUCUGAAAUACAAAUGUGGAAUACAAACCUGAAGAAACAAUGAUGCUAAAGUUAGCCUCAUGGGGAGAAUCCUUGAAGCAUCAUACAGGAGACAGAUUUAUCACCUAGCAAAUCAAAGGAACGAGCAAGAAGCUUCCCUCGAGGAUCCACAAAAUUUGCACCAUAGCUGAAGAGCAUUCCGGCAAACUGUGUUCUGAGAACAAAUGACAUGUAUCUUCAGGUCUGGUGACCCAGAAAACUAAAGGGAAAAACCUUUGGCGAUAAAAUAGGAUCUGAAAUAGGACAACAUCAAUGUUUGAUAAAAUCAUUAAACCAACCGUAGGCUAGAUUGGAGAUGUUAACAAACAUCAAUCUUGUCAUAUUUCAGAUAGAUUGGAGAUGUUAAGUAUGCUCUGAUCAAAGAUUAAUGAUGCUAGUCUCUAACUUUAUAAGUGUCAAUAAGUGUUUUUGCUAUGUAUAUUAUUACAACUCUACAUUUUCAAUAAAAGUGGUAAAAGUCAGGCUUGACCAACUCCGAUUCCCAAAGCAUGUUUAUCAACUAGAAUAUCUAAAAAGGAUGGAUUGAAGAUCCAAAUGCAGCCAUUAUUCCUUGUCAUUUGUAACAAAGAAUGUCUAUAGGAGCUAUUUUCCACAACGACAACAACGUUCACACAUAAUAAUUAUAACCAUGGCUUCUUUAACCAGAACGAAAUUAUCGAGCACAUUAGAAAAAGGGCCAAUGCACUCGAGGCAUUAAAUCCCAUAAAUGUCGGAGGCAAGAGGUACAAAAAGAGCACAUGCCUAAGCAAAACAAGGAACAAUUUUAAAAAUUUUAAUGAUAAUACAUUCUAUCUAUAUUUUCUCAUGCUUGAUAUGUUUUUGAUCAAUUACAAUGUGAAACACUUGCAUGUUGUUAGCUUAUUAUUUGCAAACAUGAUAGAUGACUAUUGAUGCAAAAUAUGGUAAGCCUUGUUGUUGGCAGGGCAUGACAAUAAUAGCCAUCAGCUCAACAUUAUGGAGUUGCACCAACACAUGCCUGUCAUUGAAAUUGACAAAUGUUACUUAAGAUGAUACUCUUGUCCCACUUAUGGACUCUUCCCUAGGACAGUGUGUGGUCCUUUGGGAUUUAAAGAUUCUAAUGUCUAUGCCCCGCAUUUUGCUAUAUUUAAGUGUUGUCAGACAAUCAUAUGCUUAUACAAAUUAACAGAAUCAGGAUUCCUUGAAGCUUCAGGUUGAAUAACAAAGCAGAACAGGUUAUCCCUAGGUCACUCCGAUAUUAUUUUCUAUUAAGCCAACAUAUCAUCAUCCAAUAUUGGGAUAAUCAAUCCAUUAAGUUGAUAGGCCUAAACUACUGGUCCCAAAAUGUUUAGCCCAUACCUCUAAUGUGCUUUAAGUAAAGAUUACUCAAAUUGAAAGUCAUAGGAAAGGAGGAAGAAGAAAGGGAAUCUGAAUAGUUUUGAAAUAUCAAAAGACAUCCUUCGUGGAAAUAAUUGAAAAAUACCAUGUGCCCAAACACAUAAAUGUUAUAUAUGUUGCAUCUUAAUUUUUUUUUUCAUUUUAAAUAGUUUUAGAUAAUUGCUUAAAUUCUUCUUUUUCUGUGUCUUUGCUCCUUUAGUCUGUCCUCUAUUGCAUGAUUAUUUGUGUCGCUUAUAUUUAAAGUUAUAAAGCAUAUCUGCUAGAAGAAUUUAAAAGAUCAUACUUCAUAAGGUCUUUCUACCAUUAACAGCUUCAACAUUUAAUAGCUUGAUUGCCAACUUUACCCUGGAGAAUAAAAGAAUAUACAUAAAUGCAGAAAUAAAUAAAGCACAAUGUACCUGUUAUCAUCAUAAAAUUCAGCUAAGUUUUGUAUCUCCACAUAUUCCAAACCUGCAUCUCUGGCCAGCCUGAAUUAAUUGGCUUAUCAGUGUCAUAUCCUCAGAUUACGCAAACCAGAUGUCUCUAUAAAUUAGAUAAUACGAAAUAAGUACCAGACUAACCUAAUCAGGCUUGGAAAGUGGACUAAGCAAUGAGUUUCUGAAGUCAUAUCAUUAGCAAAUUUCAACUGAUACUUUUUCCCAAACAAAGGAAACCUGAAAGUCAUUUGCAUAUAAAAUAACACAUACGAAAGAAAGAAAACAAAAAGGACAACUGUCACUAACUCAGUACUUUUCUUCCUCAACUUCAAAUGUAAUAACAUAGUUCUCUGAGCGGAUGCAACUUGGGACAGCGUUCGGCUUCAUACCAAUUCCCUUAUUGUGGCAAGCUUCAACAUUCUUCUGAUAUUUUGCCCUGACAAAGUAGCAUCUCCAUAUGACAUGAUGAAAAUAUUCCAAAAGCAAGGUUUGAAAAUCUAAGCCAGGAAAAGUGCAAAGACUGUCAUCAACCAAGUAUAGUUAUCAUGACAUUCUUCCAUCAUCUAAAUUAGCAAUUUCUGUAACAGAAGGCAUUGAAUUUCUUUGACAUCCAUUAUACCUUCUCCGUAUAUCUCAGACCUGUUAUAACUACACUUUGUCAUAUCUUGUAGCAGGACAGUAGUUCCCGAGUAUCUUCUAAACCUCAGAAUACCGAGUGAAAAUAAUGGGUUCGGGCUGUGUCAAAAGACAUGUUUGGUUGGAGGUUCUUCACUCUAAUCUUGUUAGUUUCAGUUUCAGAAAAGUUACAUAAAGAAGAAAUAUGAAGGCAUUAAUUUGAACCAGGGCCUUUGUUUUUCAUGUUUGUUGGGUCAUUUCAUGUUUGAAAAAAAUGUUAGCUUCUACAAUCCUUGAAGAGAGUCAAACACAAAACUCUACAGCAUUAUUUGGAUCCCAUUAGAGUAUAGUAAACCAUUUUACUGCAAUUAAAACCUCAUACAUCAUAAUCUAAUCUUGCCUACAAAAUAAGAAAACCUAGUAUAAGAAUUCCUAAAAUUUGUCAACAUGAGGGGCAGCUUCGAGCCAGAAGAAACAAGAAGGUGGUUAAUAGCUUAGUAUAAAGUGCCCAUAUGUGACAUCAAUCAUUGCUUGGUUCAAAAUUUAUAAUAUGUUCUCUUGACAAUUUGUGAUUCUACUGUCCUUUUCCAUACCAUGUGCUAGUUUCUUUCAGGUUUUACUUACAACUUUUCAAACUGCAACAUAAAGAACUUUGGGAAAGAAGCUGUAAUGUAUCCAUACCAUAUGGUAGAUGAGUCAGGAGUUAUGCCGAAAAAAUAUCCCCCUGGUCUAAG
rnacentral:lncRNA from 1 species